CAAAAAGAAGGUAAGAACACACUCCUGGAAACUGGAGGAAAGAGAUGAUCUUUGUUACAUACUGGCAGAAAAUGUGGCUGAAAUGUGUUCCACAAUUUUGUGGAAAAUAAAACUUAUAACUGAUGAACUUAAGUAUUUAGCUGAGCAGCUUUCGAAGCAAAGAGUUGGAGGUAUGAUCUGAUUUCCUCUUGCUGCUUACAGUAAAAUUUGAAAGGAAAGCAACAAAUUGAGGAAGAAACUGUUAAGCAAAAAGGAACUAGCACUUUAUGAUUUGGGAAAUUCUCAUCCUAUCCAGAUUGCAAAAGAUGCUAUACUUAGGAAAUUCAUUCCUGGGAAGCAUGCUCUGGAAAGAAGGCAAGAAUGUGACUGGCUGGACAACUUUUUGCUGAAGAGAUGAGGCGUAUGACUCGGAUCCAGUCCACCAUCUCAGUAGGAGUCAGGAAUGGAGAGUAGGGUAUGCAGGAAGGGUGUAUGGAGGACCCUCUUGUCUAACAGGGCGGUGAUUCAUGGCUUACACAGGAGACUCACAAGGUUUUGAGAAUGUUCUAUCAGCGGGAACGUUGCCAGCUUGGACUGAAAGGGACAGAGGUUGGACUAAAUAAAGAAGGCUGUGGGACACCCAACAUUCUACAGGCAGGAAAUGGGCUCAUGGAGCUACUCAGCUGCAAACAUGUGCUAACCUCAAGAAAGAGGAAGAAUGACUCCCAGGGCAGAGCCUUGGGCCCAGAGAGCAGAGCCGCAGGCACAGAGGCAGAUGGCAGUGGGACCAUGCCUGCUAAGGCCUGUGGAGCUGUGAGACACAGAGGUUGCUCGUAAGGUCUACAGUUGGAGAAGAAUUUUGCCCCAAGAUAGCUCCUACCAAGAGUCUCACACGUCCCUGAUUUAGAUGAUAAGAUUUGGAACUUUUGAGGAGACACGCAGAGGACAGAGAGAGAAGAGGCAGGCAAUGUGACCAUGGUAGCGGAGACUGAAGAGAUGUGGCCACCAGUCAAGGAAUGCCUGAAGCCAUCAGAAGCUGGAAGAGAGAGAGGAAUGGAUAGGCCCCUAGAAGGAUUGGAGGGAGCGUGUCCCUAAUGAUACUUUGAUUUUGGACUUCUGGUCUUGAGAAUUGUGAGAGAAUAAAUUUCUGUUGUUUUAAGCCUCUGAAUUUGUGGCUGUUUGUUACAGCAGCUACAGGAAAGUAGUACAGAUUUUGGUACAUUUUGAUAAGUCAAAGCAACCAGUUACAAAAGACCAUAUAUUGUAUGAUUUCAUUUAUACGAAAUGUCCAGAACAGGCAAAUCUAUGGAGAUGGAAAAUAGAUUAGUGGUUGCAGGGGCUAGAGGUAGAAGGAAUGAGAGUGACUGCUAAUCCAUAUGGGGUUUCCUUCUGGGUGAUAAAAAUGUUCUGCAGUUAGAUAGUGGUGAUGGUUGCACAGUUCUGUGAAUAUACUAAAAACUACUGAAUUUUAUGCUUUAAACCUGUUAAUUUUAUGAUAUGUGAAAUGUAUUUCAAUAAAGCUAUUGUAAAAAAUUUAACAUUAUAAGGUUUUCUUAACAUUAAUUUUAUAUUAUAUCUCUCUUCUCUUCUGGAAAAUUAAAAAAAAAUAAAAUCAAUGUAUUUGUUUGCUUAAUCCUAGUAGAUACCUAAAAGGACUUCAAAAUUACAACAUCUAUCUUACCAUGUCAUUACAACAAUAAAAACACUAAGUGAAUUUUAAGGAUCUUUUUUGUAAUUCUUUUAGUCUUUAGACUAUAUUCCACAAAAAAAUAC
ensembl:lncRNA